AGCACAGAGCCCUAGGACCUGUCACUGUCACUAGAGACCUCCCUUCAGCUUCCAGAACCACUUGGAGGGACCAGGAAGUCUGUGACUGUGCCACGUGGCACCAUGAAGUCCCCAUCCUCCUGGACCCAAAUGCCUGGCUCCUGGAGGCUCCCUUUGUUUCUCUGCUUCUCAGCUAAGAACAUUAGAGCCUGACACUCAAGGCAUGGUCUCCCCACCAGCACUGCCAUCUGCAUCGCCCGGGAGCUUGCUGGAAAUGCAGAAUCUUGGUCUCUACCCCCAGAUCUGUUGAAUCCAAAUCUGAAUUUUAAUCAAUCCCCA
rnacentral:lncRNA from 10 species